GAUGAACGCUGGCGGCGUGCCUAAUACAUGCAGGUCGAGCGAACAAACGAGGAGCUUGCUCCUCUGACGUUAGCGGCGGACGGGUGAGUAACACGUGGAUAACCUACCUCUAAGACUGGGAUAACUUCGGGAAACCGGAGCUAAUACCGGAUACUAUAUUGAACCGCAUGGUUCCCUAGUGAAAGACGGUUUUGCUGUCACUUAUCGAUGGAUCCGCGCCGCAUUUGCUAGUUGGUAAGGUAACGGGCUACCCAGGCAACGAUGCGUAGCCGACCUGAGAGAGGGAUCGGCCACAUGAGAAGGGAGACAGGGUCCAGACUACUAAGAGAGGGAGCAGAAGGGAAUCGGCCGCAAUGGGCGAAAACUUUACGGAGUAACGCCGAGUGAGAUAUGAAGGUGUUGGGAGAGGAAAACCGGGUUUUGAGGGAAAAACAAAUUUGUAAGGAAAUAAGCACGACGUGACGGUACCUGAACAGAAAGCCCCGGCUAACUACGUG
rnacentral:rRNA from 1 species